CUCUGUACAAAUGAAAUGAAGUACGAGAGUCUGAAAGGAACAGGCUACAUUACACCCACAAUUGAGCUCCAAUUUCCAUACAGUUCUCUACCUGCUUUUUACUGCAGUGGACCUCCUGGAAUACACUUCUAAAAUGCGAUUCUUACCCAUUGUGAACAUGUUGAAAGGAUGCCGAUUGGCUGUUGGAUGCUGGAGCCCGAUAGUGAUUCUGCUCGAACAAAUCUGCUGCAGCAGCACUGACCACUCGGCUGGCUGCGUGGUUCUUCCCUCUUGCACCAUCCAAUUAAAUCCUCAACGAUCAAAUCACCUGCAUGGAGGCACGAGGCCUGAUAUGAGGCCAGCUGAUGGCCAUAGAGCCUCAUGGAGGCCAGAGGUAAAGGGAGGAACCACCAGGAACUGGGAUAGAGGUGGAGAGGGGAACCUACCUAUCUGGAAUAGGUUCCUGCUCGUCACUCCCCAAGAGAGAGAACCAUCAACAUACAGACAGACGGACAGACAGACAGACAGACAGACAGACAGACAGGGAGACAGACAGGGAGACAGACGGAGAGAGAUGUAGAUGAGAGGGGGAUAAAGAAAUAUGAACAAUGUAACAAUUUAAUUGAGUUUUGCGAUGCACAGCCACAGCUCUCGCUUCAAACAAAAGGAAAUGGCCCUUCUGCAAGAUAUGCUGAAAGUAUGGACUAUAUUUGGAUGUCAAAUUAGUCAGUAAUUUAUAGUCCCAAAUAUGUGCACUGAAUUAAAUCAGAUCUUUAGUAACUAUUUUUAUGUUCCUUUACGUUGAAGGAAAUUAUAUAUAUAAUUCUGAAGCUCGCAUAUAAUAACAAAAAUGGAUAAUUGUCCAUCUUUCAUGUUCAUGCCCAGGCAGUGUGAGAAGAAGAAUUAGCGCUCACACAUUUUAUCGCCAAUGAAAAUAAGAGAAUCCAGUGGAAUGGAACUUCCAUCAUGCCCUCUUUUGGGGUGGUCUAAUUGGGUUGUUUUUUCUUGAGCUUUGCUUGAUUCCAGAACAUUUCUACACUUUCUGGACUCUAGUCUGACAUUGUUUUUAAUGUCAGGCGGCAGAGUGAACCACAGCAUGGAGGAGAAGUAAUUGUAGCCGUUUGCAGGCUCCUGGAGCUCUAUAUCUAUAUAAUAUAAUAUAAGAUAAUAAUAAUAAUAAUAAUCAUAAUAAUAUUAUAUAAUAUAUAGGUAUUUAUAUAUUAUAUCUACACAGCAAAAUACUUAGUGUUAAUUUAACUCUCAUAAGAGUCAAAUUUAACACUUUCUUGGUGUUUAUAUAAUCCUCACCAAGUUGGAGUUAAGGUAAUAUUAUAUAAAGUUAAUAUUUUAACCCUUAAAUAGUGUUAAAUAUUUAACACACAUUUUUAACACUGGUGUUACUUACCGACACUAAGAGUGUUGAUUUAUUACACAUUAAAGUGUGUUUUUAACGGUGUUACUCACUAACACUAGGAGGGUGUUUCUAAGUUUCAGUUCAUCAUUUACACCAAGUUUGAAAUGCUUCUAUAUUCAACUGUAAGACACAUUGCUACAGUAUAAAGUUUAUUUUUUUUAUUCAACAUUGCAGCUCACAAACAAUAUUGAACACAAGAUCCAGGCAUCAAACGCAUCGACAGAUAAUGUCUCUCCUCCACUCUUCUCUCUAAUGAACCACUCCAGUGUGGAUAUGAGAAAGGUGGAAAUAGGCCAAAAUAAAUAUAUUUACACAUUUCAGAAAUUGACAUGCAACACAACUUUGUAUAAAAAAGUUACAGUUGACCAGAACAACCAGUGCGUGAGGAAUAGGAUAUGUACACAACAUAUGCAUAUUUAAAAUGAAAACAAAGGUACAAUAUAUUGGUUCUCAUCUCUACCAGAGGCAUUUUGUAAGGCAAAGGGCUUAUACAUUU